rnacentral:tRNA from 1 species
AUUGAUAUGGCAGAUUAGUGCAAUAGAUUUAAAAUCUAUAAAUAUAAUAUAUUUAUUUUCAAUA